rnacentral:other from 1 species
AUUUUCCUGCUUGGUGCGUGAUGUGUUCUUUUGGACCCACAUUUUAUUCUUGGGAUGUUAGUUUCUUUGCCGGAUUGCAGACCUCCCGCCUGCGCUUUGACGUACGGUGGACGUUGGGAGCAGCUAAGGCACAGAGCGGCGACCCACCUGCCGAUUCGUGCAGGUCAUAAAUGAAUGCACACGGCCAAAGCGGGGUUUUG